rnacentral:rRNA from 1 species
UGGGUUAGUGGCGGACGGGUGAGUAACGCGUGGGUAACCUGCCUUACACAGGGGGAUAACACUUAGAAAUAGGUGCUAAUACCGCAUAAGCGCACGGUUCCGCAUGGAACAGUGUGAAAAACUCCGGUGGUAUACGAUGGAUCCGCGUCUGAUUAGCCAGUUGGCGGGGUAACGGCCCACCAAAGCGACGAUCAGUAGCCGGCCUGAGAGGGUGAACGGCCACAUUGGGACUGAGACACGGCCCAAACUCCUACGGAAGGCAGCAG